UACGUAGGGUCCGAGCGUUGUCCGGAAUUAUUGGGCGUAAAGAGCUCGUAGGCGGUCUGUCGCGUCUGCUGUGAAAUCCCGAGGCUCAACCUCGGGUCUGCAGUGGGUACGGGCAGACUGGAGUGCGGUAGGGGAGAAUGGAAUUCCUGGUGUAGCGGUGGAAUGCGCAGAUAUCAGGAGGAACACCGAUGGCGAAGGCAGUUCUCUGGGCCGUAACUGACGCUGAGGAGCGAAAGCGUGGGGAGCGAACAGG
rnacentral:rRNA from 1 species